rnacentral:rRNA from 2 species
UACGAAGGGGGCAAGCGUUGUUCGGAAUUACUGGGCGUAAAGGGCGCGUAGGCGGCUUAUCAAGUCAGGCGUGAAAUUCCCGGGCUCAACCUGGGGGCUGCGCUUGAUACUGAUGAGCUUGAAUGCGGGAGAGGAUAGUGGAAUUCCCAGUGUAGAGGUGAAAUUCGUAGAUAUUGGGAAGAACACCAGUGGCGAAGGCGGCUAUCUGGCCCGUAAUUGACGCUGAGGCGCGAAAGCGUGGGGAGCAAACAGG